CACUAUUGUAACCACAGUGUUGUGCUUUUCCCAAAACAAAUCGGCUCAAAAUAAAGACAGCUCUCACCCAUGAGAUAAUGCAUCCUAGCAGGUGGAAAGGAUGGCACGAGCACCUGAGAAAGCUAACAAGUGCCAUGGGUGGACACCAAGAAAAGUGAGUCAAGGUGAUUCAUGGGGUUCUCCAGCAGGGAAGACUUCAGACAUGUACGCUGCACGGCUUGCAUGACCUCCAAUGCGGCCAAACCCAUAGCUACGAGAAAGGAAUAUCGAGAAGAGUUAGUACACUUUAGAGGGACUGAGUUCCACCUACUUUACAGAGUCUCAGUGAUAACUCAAGAGUUAACACAUAAAGGGUCAGAAGUAUUGGUUUAAAAACAGGCAAAGGACCUGUAUAGGCAUUGAGCACAUGAAAAGUUGCUCAACAUCAUUACUAAUUACUACUUAGGGAAAUGUAAAUCAAACCACAAUAAGGUACCUCUUCACACACACACACUAGGAUGGCUAUAACCAAAAAGCAGAAAACAACAAGCAGUAGCAAGAAUGUAGAAAAAUUGACGAAAGGCUUUAGUCCCACAAAAAUGAAGAUAGUAAUGGUUCCUGGCAGAUGGUUGGAGAAUAAUGACUCAAUGAAAGAUAUUUUGGAAACAUACACAUUUAUAACCUGUUUCUCCUGCCUUUUCUAAGCUAAGAUUUGAGAACUUACUAUAUGCCAGGCACUGUGCUAAGCAAUGUGUAUACCUGGCCUUAUUCUAACAAUCCCUCUCCUUUGUGGAAUCCAUUUCAGUUUCAAUAAAUAUACACCUACAUAAUUUUAAAAGGCUGCACUUAACCAUACUUUUAUCACUGGAUACUUAGGAUGUCCCUACUUUUUUCUUAAUACGAACAGUAUUUCAGUAAGUAUUCUUGACCUAUAUUUUUGAAAAUGUA
rnacentral:lncRNA from 1 species